GACGAACGCUGGCGGCGUGCCUAAUACAUGCAAGUCGAACGCAGUGGGGACGGGUGAGUAACACGUGGGUAACCUCCCAUCAGAGGGGAUAACACCUGUAACCAGGUGCUAAACCGAUACUGAUGGAUGGAUCCGCGGUGCAUUAGCUAGUUGGUGUUGUAACGGCUGCCCAAGGCAUAGAUGCAUAGCCAACCUGAGAGGGUGAUCAGCCACACUGGGACUGAGACACGGCCCAGACUCCUCCGUGAGGCAGCAGGAGGGAAUCUUCGGCAAUGGUCGAAAGUCUGACCGAGAAACGCCGCGUGAGUGAAGAGGGUUGUCGGAUCGUAAAGCUCUGAUGUUAGAAAAGCGGUAUCUAACCAGAAAGCCACGGCUAACUACGUGCCAGCAGCCGCGGUAAUUC
rnacentral:rRNA from 1 species